AGUAACGCGUGGGAAUCUACCCAUCUCUACUGAACAACUCCGGGAAACUGGAGCUCAUACCGUAUACGUCCUUCGGGAGAAAGAUUUAUCGUAGAUGGAUGAGCCCGCGUUGGAUUAUCUAGUUGGUGGGGUAAUGGCCUACCAAGGCGACAAUCCAUAUCUGGUCUGAGAGGAUGAUCAGCCACACUGGGACUGAGACACGGCCCACACUCCUACGGGAGGCAGCAGUGGGGAAUAUUGGACAAUGGGCGCAAGCCUGAUCCAGCCAUGCCGCGUGAGUGAUGAAGGCCCUAUGGUUGUAAAGCUCUUUCUACGGUGAAGAUAAUGACAGUAACCGUAGAAGAAGCCCCGGCUAACUUCGUGCCAGCAGCCGCGGUAAUACGAAGGGGGCUAGCGUUGUUCGGAAUUACUGGG
rnacentral:rRNA from 1 species